UACGGAGGGUGCAAGCGUUAUCCGGAUUCACUGGGUUUAAAGGGUGCGUAGGCGGAAUAUUAAGUCAGUGGUGAAAGCUUCCCGCUCAACGGGAAAACUGCCAUUGAAACUGAUUUUCUUGAAUACAGUUGAGGUAGAUGGAAUAUAACAUGUAGCGGUGAAAUGCUUAGAUAUGUUAUAGAACACCAAUUGCGAAGGCAGUCUGCUAAGCUGUUAUUGACGCUGAGGCACGAAAGCGUGGGGAGCAAACAGG
rnacentral:rRNA from 1 species